GGGGGCGAUCAGGUUUCGACGUGUGCGCCCGAAACCGCAGUCGCGUGCCGAGGUCUCGGACCCUCGUAAAACACCGGGACAAAACCAUAAUUGCCAACGACAACUUGGCAUUGGCUGCGUAACUUAGCGUAGCCCGUCUUCCGUUCGGCCGGGCCCGAGGCGGGGCGAGAGGGCGACGACAAAUCGGGCUGGACGUGGAUCGUCCGCCGCGGUCGAUCCCGUCGAGAUGGCGAAAGCCAGCUUGCGGCUGGCCGGUUGAGGGUCGUCUGCGGACCCGAGGUCGGCGAGAAGAGCAAACGUAGACUACGCACGUAGAAGCUGUGGGCGAAGGCCUCGCGGACGCGGGUUCGAUUCCCGCCGCCUCCAUCA
rnacentral:tmRNA from 1 species